rnacentral:rRNA from 1 species
UACGAAGGGGGCGAGCGUUGUUCGGAUUUACUGGGCGUAAAGAGCGCGCAGGCGGUCGUUCAAGUCGAGUGUGAAAGCCCCCGGCUCAACUGGGGAGGGUCACUCGAUACUGAUCGACUCGAAGGCAGGAGAGGGAAGUGGAAUUCCCGGUGUAGUGGUGAAAUGCGUAGAUAUCGGGAGGAACACCAGUGGCGAAGGCGACUUCCUGGCCUGUUCUUGACGCUGAGGCGCGAAAGCUAGGGGAGCAAACGGG